UGAGGAAUAUUGGUCAAUGGGCGGAAGCCUGAACCAGCCAAGUAGCGUGAAGGAUGACUGCCCUAUGGGUUGUAAACUUCUUUUAUAAGGGAAUAAUUGUGGGUACGUGUACCCAUUUGCAUGUACCUUAUGAAUAAGGAUCGGCUAACUCCGUGCCAGCAGCCGCGGUAAUACGGAGGAUCCGAGCGUUAUCCGGAUUUAUUGGGUUUAAAGGGAGCGUAGGCGGGCGCUUAAGUCAGCUGUGAAAGUUUGGGGCUCAACCUUAAAAUUGCAGUUGAUACUGGGUGCCUUGAGUGCAGUAUAGGCAGGCGGAAUUCGUGGUGUAGCGGUGAAAUGCUUAGAUAUCACGAAGAACUCCUAUUGCGAAGGCAGCUUGCUGGAGUGUAACUGACGCUGAUGCUCGAAAGUGUGGGUAUCAAACGGG
rnacentral:rRNA from 1 species